ensembl:lncRNA
CAUUUUUAUUUGAUUUGGUGGACUAUUGGAAUGUAGUCUUUAUGGUGGGGAGAGCUGAGACAGAUGUUGUUAACAUGGCUGUACAUAUGAGGACAGAAGAGACAGGUGGUUUUAACAUGGCUGUACAUAUGAGGACACAAGAGACAGGUGGUUUUAACAUGGCUUUAUGUAUGAGGACAGAAGAGACAGGUGGUUUUAACAUGGCUUUAUGUAUGAGGACAGAGGAGACAGGUGAUUUUAACAUCGCUGUACAUAUGAGGACAGAGGAGACAGGUGGUUUUAACAUGGCUGUACAUAUGAGAACAGAAGAGACAGGUGGUUUUAACAUGGCUUUAUGUAUGAGGACAGAAGAGACAGGUGGUUUUAACAUGGCUUUAUGUAUGAGGACAGAGGAGACAGGUGAUUUUAACAUCGCUGUACAUAUGAGGACAGAGGAGACAGGUGGUUUUAACAUGGCUGUACAUAUGAGAACAGAGGAGACAGGUGGUUUUAACAUGGCUGUACAUAUGAGGACAGAGGAGACAGGUGAUUUUAACAUCGCUGUACAUAUGAGAACAGAGGAAACAGGUGGUUUUAACAUGGCUGUACGUAUUGAGGACAGAGGAGACAGGUGGUUUUAACAUGGCUGUACAUAUGAGGACAGAGGAGACAGGUGGUUUUAACAUGGCUGUACAUAUGAGGACAGAGGAGACAGGUGGUUUUAAAAUGGCUGUAUAUAUGAGGACAGAGGAGACAGGUGGUUUUAACAUGGCUUUAUAUAUGAGGACAGAGGAGACAGGUGGUUUUAAUAUAGCUAUAUAUACGAGGACAGAGGAGACAGGUGGUUUUAACAUGGCUGUACAUAUGAGGACAGAGGAGACAGGUGGUUUUAACAUGGCUGGACAUUUUGAGGACAGAGGAG